rnacentral:misc_RNA from 1 species
AAGUCGUAACAAGGUAACCGUAGGUGAACCUGCGGUUGGAUCAUUAAUAAAAUCUUUUUAAAUUGUUAAGUGGUUAACUUUAAAAUUUAUUUUUUUUUGUUAACCCUUUUCAAACAUUUUGUGAACUGUUUUACUGUUUUUUGGUAGGGGCUUAUAGGAUUUUAAAAAAAAAAUUUAUUUUUUUUUUUCUAUCUGGAAUCUAUUUUUUAUGCGUAGCAAUACCCUUAAAAAAAUGUUUUUACCUACCAAUUUUUUAAACUUUUUAAAAAAAAAAUAUUUAUAUACAAGUCUUUAGAAAAAAUUGAAAAUUUUGUUUUUUACAAAUUUUUUUAAAAUUAUAUUUAAAAUUAUAAAACAACUUUUGACAACGGAUCUCUAGGCUCUCA